rnacentral:rRNA from 1 species
UGCGUAGGCGGUUUGAUAAGUCAGAGGUGAAAGCCCACAGCUCAACUGUGGAAUUGCCUUUGAUACUGUUAGACUUGAAUCAGGUUGAGGUUGGCGGAAUGUGGCAUGUAGCGGUGAAAUGCAUAGAUAUGCCAUAGAACACCAAUUGCGAAGGCAGCUGACUAGACCUGUAUUGACGCUGAGGCACGAAAGCGUGGGGAGCGAACAGGAUUAGAUACCCUGGUAGUCU